UACGGAGGAUGCGAGCGUUAUCCGGAUUUAUUGGGUUUAAAGGGUGCGUAGGCGGAUCGUUAAGUCAGUGGUCAAAUUGAGGGGCUCAACCCCUUCCCGCCAUUGAAACUGGCGAUCUUGAGUGGAAGAGAAGUAUGCGGAAUGCGUGGUGUGGCGGUGAAAUGCAUAGAUAUCACGCAGAACCCCGAUUGCGAAGGCAGCAUGCCGGCUUCCUACUGACGCUGAAGCACGAAAGCGUGGGGAUCGAACAGG
rnacentral:rRNA from 1 species